UCCGUAGGUGAACCUGCGGAAGGAUCAUUAUCGAAUAAACUUGAACAGGCUGUUGCUGGUCUUCUUGGGACAUGUGCACGCUUGUCAUCUUUAUCAUUUCUCCAACUGUGCACGUAUUUUGUAGACCUGGGGGGACUGGAAUUCGUUCCGAGUGGGGACUGCUGUGCUUCAAAAAAGAAAAGAGGUCGGCUUUCCCUUUGAAAGGUCUAUGUCAUUUUUUCACAACCAAUGUGUCUAGAAUGUUGUAAUGAAUAAAAAGUUAUGAAAAACAACUUUCAGCAACGGAUCUCUUGGCUCUCGCAUCGAUGAAGAACGCAGCGAAAUGCGAUAAGUAAUGUGAAUUGCAGAAUUCAGUGAAUCAUCGAAUCUUUGAACGCAUCUUGCGCUCCUUGGUAUUCCGAGGAGCAUGCCUGUUUGAGUGUCAUUUUGAACUCUCAAAGCCCACGUCUUGACGUGGCUUUGGACUUGAGGGCUUUUGCAGGCUUUUUGAUCAAAAGCCUGCUCCCUUGAAAAUCAUCAGUGGUAUCUGGAGCGGAAACCGCUAGGUGUUGAUAACAUUUCAUCUAUGCCUUUGGGUAUGCCGCGUAAAUGUGCUGCUUCCAACGGCCCCAUUAUGCUCUUUGACAAACUUGACCUCAAAUCAGGUAGGACUACCCGCUGAACUUAAGCAUAUCAAUAAGCGGAGGA
rnacentral:rRNA from 1 species